rnacentral:rRNA from 1 species
UACGGGGGGAGCAAGCGUUGUUCGGAUUUACUGGGUGUAAAGGGCGCGUAGGCGGCCAGCACAAGUCAGUUGUGAAAUCUCCGAGCUUAACUCGGAAAGGUCAACUGAUACUGUGCGGCUAGAGUGCAGAAGGGGCAACUGGAAUUCUCGGUGUAGCGGUGAAAUGCGUAGAUAUCGAGAGGAACACCUGCGGCGAAGGCGGGUUGCUGGGCUGACACUGACGCUGAGGCGCGAAAGCUAGGGGAGCGAACGGG